rnacentral:rRNA from 1 species
UACGUAGGGCGCAAGCGUUGUCCGGAAUUAUUGGGCGUAAAGAGCUCGUAGGUGGCUUGUCGCGUCUGCCGUGAAAACCCGAGGCUCAACCUCGGGCGUGCGGUGGGUACGGGCAGACUAGAGUGUGGUAGGGGAGACUGGAAUUCCUGGUGUAGCGGUGAAAUGCGCAGAUAUCAGGAGGAACACCGAUGGCGAAGGCAGGUCUCUGGGCCACUACUGACGCUGAGAAGCGAAAGCAUGGGGAGCGAACAGGAUUAGAUACCCG